UGGGGAAUAUUGGACAAUGGGCGAAAGCCUGAUCCAGCCAUGCCGCGUGUGUGAAGAAGGCCUUUUGGUUGUAAAGCACUUUAAGUGGGGAGGAAAAGCUUAUGGUUAAUACCCAUAAGCCCUGACGUUACCCACAGAAUAAGCACCGGCUAACUCUGUGCCAGCAGCCGCGGUAAUACAGAGGGUGCAAGCGUUAAUCGGAAUUACUGGGCGUAAAGCGCGCGUAGGUGGUUAUUUAAGUCAGAUGUGAAAGCCCCGGGCUUAACCUGGGAACUGCAUCUGAUACUGGAUAACUAGAGUAGGUGAGAGGGGAGUAGAAUUCCAGGUGUAGCGGUGAAAUGCGUAGAGAUCUGGAGGAAUACCGAUNGGCGAAGGCAGCUCCCUGGCAUCAUACUGACACUGAGGUGCGAAAGCGUGGGUAGCAAACAGGAUUAGAUACCCUGGUAGUCCACGCCGUAAACGAUGUCUACCAGUCGUUGGGUCUUUUAAAGACUUAGUGACGCAGUUAACGCAAUAAGUAGACCGCCUGGGGAGUACGGCCGCAAGGUUA
rnacentral:rRNA from 1 species